UAAACAAAGAAAGACAAUCUUUCUAUUUCAAUCAGGUCUAACUGUGGCAGGAUACAAACAGCCUGAAAGCUUCCCAUACCUCCACCCUCACCAGACUUCAGCUCCUUGGCCUCCUGGAUUUGAGCAACAAGACUUUGGAGCCUUUGUGACGCAGCCGUUCUCCGCUCCUCCAAAACACUCCUUUGUUCUCUUGAAGAUGAGUUCAGACUUUCAGGAUGAAAGCUGAAGACGUCUCCCUCUGCUGCUGUUCCUGCAUCCGUCUUUAAGGCUCCAAGCCCACUUCCCUGCUGGUGGUUCUGCCCGUACGCUCUGUGUUCCCUCAUCAUGUUCAGGUUCCUCUAGUUGGGUCAACUAACCUCCUUCACUCUGCUGAAGACUAACAAAACUCAGUUUUUACCUGUUUUAUUUUCUAUGAUGAAAUGUGACUCUGCAUGCCGUGCUGGCCUUUAAAUGUUUAACUCUGAGGUUCUGGACUAGUCCAAAAAUAAAACCUAUUUCUAUUUAUGUAAACAUGAAGUAAUAUACUGAGGAAAAAUAAAGUCUUCUUCUGUAA